rnacentral:rRNA from 1 species
UACGUAUGGAGCAAGCGUUAUCCGGAUUUACUGGGUGUAAAGGGUGCGUAGGUGGCUGCGCAAGUCAGAUGUGAAAGCUCGGGGCUCAACCCCGGAACUGCAUUUGAAACUGCGCAGCUGGAGUCCGGGAGAGGCAGGCGGAAUUCCUAGUGUAGCGGUGAAAUGCGUAGAUAUUAGGAAGAACACCAGUGGCGAAGGCGGCCUGCUGGACCGGUACUGACACUGAGGCACGAAAGCGUGGGGAGCAAAC